GGGCAAAGCAAACACCAGGGCACCCACAUUUACUACAGCAAGUGCAGUGACUGGACUACGUUUGGCAAAUAAAAGGAGAAUCCACUGUCGGUCUUUGAAACUCGCCAAGAAUCUUGUCUAGAUUCCGGAGAAGCCAUGGGAGUGAACCUGAAGCUCCUGCUCCUGCUGGUCGUAGCAGUGGCCAUCAUUUGGGACGCCGCUGACGCCCAGGGGCCAGACCAUGAGGGAGGUCGCGGACUUCACGCUGACGGUGACACCGCAGAAGCGCGCUUGCCGCGGGAUCUGGGAGCAGAUGUUCCGCAGGUGAAUGAUGAGGCGGAGGAGAGGGCCGAGCUGGGAAAAACUCCCUGAGCCGCACCGACUUCGGCUGCUGAUUGCUGUCUGACGGGCCUCGUUUGUUGUGACGAUUGGAGGAUGGUGACAAAUCUCCAGUGCUGUGCAUGCUUAAUGACGUAACUGCGUUCGAAUAUUCGAUCUAGUGUCAGAGGCCCGCAGUGUGCUUGUAGCCGCAGUUGUGUGAAAUUUGAAGCGGUUCAAUUUUAUCGGCUUCAGCUUG